rnacentral:lncRNA from 1 species
AAAAAAAAAAAAAACACUCCAAAACGAAACUGCACUAAAUACAAACGUUGCCUAUACCGCCCCGCGCUGAGCGUGGAAACGCGGAGCGCUGCGGCGGCCCCGCGGCACUGCUCGGGCAGGGAACGGCCCUUCGCUGUGCAUCAGUGCGCGGCUAAGGGGGAUCGCAGAGCUGCGGUGCGCAGCGUCCGCACUGAUCCGUCCCCACACCAAGCUCCGGACCGAUGCUUCACGGGCGCUGGAAUCACUGAUUUGUCUCUCCUCCGUAGUUCCCUUCGUGCCGACCGAAAGGAAUUCUGCUCUGAUCGCACUGCCCGGCCUUGUUGUUUGUUUGUUUGUUUGUUUUUUCUAAUAUAUAUAUAUAUUGUUUCCCUUAACUCGUAAGAAAAAUAUUUCUCUCCGUGGAAAGCAAAAAUAAAGCUUUGAUUUGAGAUUAUUUUCUGGUAGCCCUACGAAUAACGUUAAGUUAAGCGGCAUCAGAUCGCCUCGCGUUUUGUUAGAACCAAACCAAACGAAAGCGAUGCCUGCUGUGGGCCGCCCGUGCCACUGCCGUACCCGACACAGCGGCACCCUGGAGCUCUCCCACCGAUGGGCAGCCCCGGGAGCGGGAGAGUGCGGGAGUGCACGCACGCCUAUGCGUACAUCUAUCCCCGUACACAGGUAUAUAUCAGUAUAUAUACCUGUAUAUAUAAGUACGCAGAGACAUGCAUAUAAGUAUAUAUAUACAAAGAUAUAUAUAUAUACGUCUAUACUAGAUAUAUAUAUACAUACAUACACUCGCACAGACCCAUCUCUCCCUGCACACACUCACACCUACCCCUACAGACAAGCCCUAAAGCUGCACAAACGGCAGCAAUCGUCACACAGCUGCGAUUCCAACAGAGAUUCCCCCCCGCAUCCCUCCCCGCAGCAGCACUGUGACACCUCGGAGCGAUCGGGACAUCCCCGCACGGCAGCAGCACGGGUGCCCGUUCCCAUCGACGGAGCGAGGCUGAGUCUCGCUUUCUUUAAAACAUAUAUAGAUACUGGGUAUUUGUUUUUUUUUUAAAUGAAGUAACGAAAAGCUUUGCGGAUGAAAUCAUUAAGUAGUCCAACCGAUAAGUAAUUCAGCAACUAAGCGAUUCGAUCAUUAAUUUGAUAAUCCUAUAGUUAAGAACGGUCUCGCAUUCGGGGACGGCAGAAAACCCCGCACACCCCCCCCACCCCCUCCUAUCCCGGCACC